GAUGAACGCUGGCGGCGUGCCUAAUACAUGCAAGUCGAGCGAACAGGCGAGGCGCUUGUUCCUCUGGCGUUAGCGGCGGACGGGUGAGUAACACGUGGAUAACCUACCUUUAAGACUGGGAUAACUUCGGGAAACCGGAGCUAAUACCGGAUAAUAUCUUGAACCGCAUGGUUCAAUAGUGAAAGACGGUUUUGCUGUCACUUAUGGAUGGACCCGCGCCGCAUUAGCUAGUUGGUAGGGUAACGGCUUACCAGGCCAACGAUCCGUGACCGCCCUGAGGGGGUGACGGCCCACACGGGAACGUAGACACGCUCCAGACUCCUACGGGGGGCAGCAGUAGGGAAUCUUCCGCAAUGGGGGAAGGCCUAACGGGGCAACGCCGCGUGAGUGAUGAAGGUCUUCGGAUCGUAAAACUCUGUUAUUAGGGAAGAACAAAUGUGGAAGUGACUAUGCACGUCUUGACGGUACCUAAUCAGAAAGCCACGGCUAACUACGUG
rnacentral:rRNA from 1 species